rnacentral:lncRNA from 1 species
CCACUUUUGUUUUCAUUUUCCGAGUCAGUCUCCCUCUGGAGCCCAGUCUGGCCUGGUCCUUGCCACAAUCCUCUUGACUUAAGUCUCCCGAGUGCCAGGAUUCCAGGCAUGAAACCCCCAUGCCAGCACGUUGUGCCUUUGUUCUUUGGAGUGCCCCUGUACAGUGAAGGGGGCCCUGGCUCCCAUCCCGUUCUGUUAAGUUGACUGACUCUCCACAAACAUCCAAGGGACAAAUACUUUUCGAUCAGUGAAGCCUCUGGGAGAUCUGGUAGUGCGUACAAAGGAAUCACUUCCGGGUUUUGAAGACCCACCAAUCACUGAGCUCAAAAAUCCACCAAUCCCUGAACUGCCCAAGCUCAGGACCUGAAAUCCCACCAAUCCCUGCCCUGGAAAUCUCUGUCCCUGCCUUUCACUCAGAGAGGCAGCCGCUCUCAUUUGUCUGUCUUUGACUUUUGCGUCGGGUUUGUUUUGCCGCGCUUCUUUGUGGUAUUCCUUACCUUCCUCUUCAGAACAGCAACACUUGACUGGGGAAACCUUUCCCCCUCAGAACUGUAACACUUACAUUCAAUGCGUUGACGGUUUAUUUCCCCCGAUUCUGCCCUGAAAAAUAUUUUCGUCGGGCGUGGUGGCGCACGCCUUUAAUCCCAGCAGUCGGGAGGCAGAGGCAGGCGGAUUUCUGAGUUCAAGGCCAGCCUGGUUUACAAAGUGAAUUCCAGGACAGCCAGGGCUACACCGAGAAACCCUGUCUCGGAAAAAAAACAACAACAACAACAAAAAGAAUACUUUCCCCUCCCCCAGAACAACUUUUUUUAGAGCUUAAAAGAAAAUCCCCAAGGUGGACAAGGUGUAAGUUUCAGCAGCUACCCUUAGGAGAAAAAGCUGUUAAUAUGGCGGCCAAUCAGCCGCGUGGCAGACAAGCAUGGUGAGAGGAGACACUGUAGAGAAAUGUUCCACCAUCUGAGGACCAAGUAUUCAAACCCGAGGUUAUGGAGGCCACAUUCAUUCAAGACCUCACAUCACACGCACAUCAUGUUCUUAAGCUGCUUCCUGCUUCUGGACGAGAACUCUCAGGUUCCUGUUCUGGCCACCCUGAGAAAGUGUGCUGAGAACCAGAAGAAAACAAGAGCUGGGUGUAACAGCACUUGGGACGCAGUGAGUUCCAGGCUAGCCUGAUCUACAUAGAGAAAGCCUACCAAGAGAAGAAAGAAAAAAAAAAAAAGAAGAAGAAGAAAAAGAAAUAUUUUGGUGGGGCAGUGGUAGUGCUCGUCAUUAAUCCCAGCAAUUCUGGAGACAGAGGCAAGAAAAUUUCUGAGUUUGAGCUCUGCUAGCCUGGCCUACAGAGCAAGUACAAGGGCAGCCAAGGCUACCCAGAGAAAGCCUGUCUCAAAAAACAAAAAUAAACAAA